rnacentral:rRNA from 1 species
CCUACGGGAGGCAGCAGUGAGGAAUAUUGGUCAAUGGGCGGGAGCCUGAACCAGCCAAGCCGCGUGAGGGAAGAAGGUACAGCGUAUCGUAAACCUCUUUUGUCAGGGAACAAAGGCGGGGACUAGUCCCCGGAUGAGGGUACCUGAAGAAAAAGCAUCGGCUAACUCCGUGCCAGCAGCCGCGGUAAUACGGAGGAUGCGAGCGUUAUCCGGAUGUAUUGGGGUUAACGGGUGCGCAGGCGGCCUGUUAAGUCAGCGGUAAAAGGCCGGGGCUCAACCCCGGCGAGCCGUGGAAACGGGCGUGCGGGAGUUGGAGAGAAGUACGCGGAAUGCGCGGUGUAGCGGUGAAAUGCUUAGAUAUCGCGCAGAACCCCAAUUGCGAAGGCAGCGUACCGGCUCCACACUGACGCUGAGGCACGAAAGCGUGGGUAUCGAACAGGAUUAGAUACCCCUGUAGUC